rnacentral:rRNA from 1 species
GACGAACGCUGGCGGCGUGCUUAACACAUGCAAGUCGAACGGAAAGGCCCUGCUUUUGUGGGGUGCUCGAGUGGCGAACGGGUGAGUAACACGUGAGUAACCUGCCCUUGACUGUGGGAUAACUUCAGGAAACGGGGGCUAAUACCGGAUAGGAGCUCCUGCUGCAUGGUGGGGGUUGGAAAGUUUCGGCGGUUGGGGAUGGACUCGCGGCUUAUCAGCUUGUUGGUGGGGUAGUGGCUUACCAAGGCUUUGACGGGUAGCCGGCCUGAGAGGGUGACCGGCCACAUUGGGACUGAGAUACGGCCCAGACUCCUACGGGAGGCAGCAGUGGGGAAUAUUGCACAAAGGGCGGAAGCCUGAUGCAGCAACGCCGCGUGCGGGAUGACGGCCUUCGGGUUGUAAACCGCUUUCGCCUGUGACGAAGCGUGAGUGACGGUAAUGGGUAAAGAAGCACCGGCUAACUACGUG